GGCUCCCGGGGACUGGGGGCAUUUUGUGUUGGCUGGAGCCGGAGCAACAAGAUGGCGGCGUCGGCGGAGUGACAGGGGUCCCUCUGGCCGGAGCCAGCGGCAGUGGUGGCAGCAGUAUCGCCACCCUAACUCACCGCGCCUGUCUCCCAGCCGGCGACAUCGUCGCGAGAGCGAGGCCGCGGCGGCCUCCGAGGAACAAGUGGGCAGUGUGGUUACGGCGAGGACGGCCUCACAGACUGCGGCCUGGCGGGAAGAGACGCGACUGAGCGGCGGUGCUCUGGGCCCUGGAUCGCCGGGAGAGGCCUCCGGUUUCUGUUUCCUGCGCCCCCUUCUGAAGCCUUACCCAGUGGACGAGCCUCCGAGGCGUCCGUCCUCCCCGCAGAGGUGUCGGGGCUUAGCCCCAGCCUCCAUCUUCGUCUCUCAGGAUGGCGAGCAGCAGCGGCUCCAAGGCCGAAUUCAUUGUCGGAGGAAAAUAUAAACUGGUACGGAAGAUCGGGUCUGGCUCCUUUGGGGACAUUUAUCUGGCGAUCAACAUCACCAACGGCGAGGAAGUGGCAGUGAAGCUAGAAUCUCAGAAGGCCAGGCAUCCCCAGUUGCUGUACGAGAGCAAACUCUAUAAGAUUCUUCAAGGUGGGGUUGGCAUCCCCCACAUACGGUGGUAUGGGCAAGAAAAAGACUACAAUGUGCUAGUCAUGGAUCUUCUGGGACCCAGCCUUGAAGACCUCUUCAAUUUCUGUUCAAGAAGGUUCACAAUGAAAACUGUACUUAUGUUAGCUGACCAGAUGAUCAGUAGAAUUGAAUACGUGCAUACAAAGAAUUUUAUACACAGAGACAUUAAACCAGAUAACUUCCUAAUGGGUAUUGGGCGUCACUGUAAUAAGUGUUUAGAAUCUCCAGUGGGGAAGAGGAAAAGAAGCAUGACUGUUAGUACUUCUCAGGACCCAUCUUUCUCAGGAUUAAACCAGUUAUUCCUUAUUGACUUUGGUUUGGCCAAAAAGUACAGAGACAACAGGACAAGGCAACAUAUACCAUACAGAGAAGAUAAAAACCUCACUGGCACUGCCCGAUAUGCUAGCAUCAAUGCACAUCUUGGUAUUGAGCAGAGUCGCCGAGAUGAUAUGGAAUCAUUAGGAUAUGUUUUGAUGUAUUUUAAUAGAACCAGCCUGCCAUGGCAAGGACUAAAGGCUGCAACAAAGAAGCAAAAAUACGAAAAGAUUAGUGAAAAAAAGAUGUCCACUCCUGUUGAAGUUUUGUGUAAGGGGUUUCCUGCAGAAUUUGCUAUGUACUUAAACUAUUGUCGUGGGCUGCGCUUUGAGGAAGCCCCGGAUUACAUGUAUCUGAGGCAGCUAUUUCGCAUUCUUUUCAGGACCCUGAACCACCAGUAUGACUACACAUUUGAUUGGACAAUGUUAAAGCAGAAAGCAGCACAGCAGGCAGCCUCUUCCAGUGGGCAGGGUCAGCAGGCCCAAACCCCCACAGGCAAGCAAACUGACAAAACCAAGAGUAACAUGAAAGCUCUUUUCACUGUGGACAGUAAAGCUGGAGAGAAAAGAAACUGAGUAACCCACCAGGAAGUGAACACGAGUACAGGAGUUGGUUUGUGCUGAUCUGAAGCCCACAUCUCUAAAUCUUGCUGGACCUACCAAACUUCUCACCUUGUCAGAUUGUAUGGAUGAUACAACUGUCAGAAGAUCUCCAGGAGUAUAAUGAAGCUGUAACUCUGCAUUGUAUAAUGCAGACCACCUACCACUUGGGGAAGGAGUCAGUUGUGACAGGCACAAAGGAAUUCAUCCCUCCUUUUAACUGAUGUUAACACCAAAGAUGGAUUUCUUGAACUUUUAGAAGCCAAGAAAUACUACCCUGUCUGCAAGAUAAAGACCAAGGACUAAUGUACACUGGGAGAAAGAAUACUUAACUACUUGAAGAUUGAAUGUCAAAUGCCUGCUUGAAUAUUCCUGUUGAGAUUUUUUCCUAAACAAACUUUAGUGACAUCUUAGAACAGUUCAUUGGAGAAACGUUGAUCCUUGGGUGGAGUGUCCUACCAGUGGCCCAUUUGAAGAGUAAAAUGUGGAUUUGACUGCUCUUUUCUACAGGAAUAUUGUUAGGCUAGCCAUUAAUGAGUCUAUAAACACUUGUAAUCACAAACUGGGCCAGCAGUUCCCCAAAUACCAUAUUAAAGGAUGAACAGAUAAAAUUCGUACCUAGAGUUGCCCUAUUAAAGAGUUUUUUAAUGUUUGACUGCCAA